rnacentral:rRNA from 1 species
GAUGAACGCUGGCGGCGUGCCUAACACAUGCAAGUCGAACGUGAGGGGGUAGCAAUAUCCCUGAAAGUGGCGCACGGGUGAGUAAUACGUAGGUGACCUGCCCUGGAGUGGGGGAUAACACAUCGAAAGAUGUGCUAAUACCGCAUACGUCCUGAGGGAGAAAGCGGGGGAUCUUCGGACCUCGCGCGAUUGGAGCGGCCGAUGUCGGAUUAGCUAGUUGGUGGGGUAAAAGCCCACCAAGGCGACGAUCCGUAGCGGGUCUGAGAGGAUGAUCCGCCACACUGGGACUGAGACACGGCCCAGACUCCUACGGGAGGCAGCAGUGGGGAAUUUUGGACAAUGGGGGCAACCCUGAUCCAGCCAUGCCGCGUGAGUGAAGAAGG